AGGUGCUACGCCCAUGAACAGUUGCAAAGAGGCGCGACGUGAGUCGUUCGACUGCCGCUAAACCACGUUUGUCUGAUCUCGUCUUUAUCAUCGCUGCUCUUCUCUGCCCUCGGCGAAAGCGCGCGGACUCCACCCCGAAGAGAUUACCGCAAAACAUGGUAGAAGAGCUCUUGCAUUGAGAAGGUAAAGCUCCUCGACUUGCUUGGGGACCGAAUUUUCCUGCCACUGAAUCAAACGCAGACUGACCAGCCAAAUUCUGUAAGUUGUCCACUGGCUUGUGAACCCUCCCUGCAAUUACUCUGAAUAUCAGCAAGGCUUUUCUUAUAGAAGGUUGAUCCUCAAUAACUUGAAUUGA